UUUAGUAUAUUAGAAUUGUAUAGUACCUUUUUUGUCCGGUUCCUUGUCAAAAUGUGCCUUUUGUUUCAGAUUAAUCAAUUGGCCAAGGUUGGUGGAAACACAGCAAAGGAUACUACAUACAGAACAAUGAACAGAUUGUUGAGCAAUUCUGUCAUGGCCCAGUUCAGUUUUAAAGGAAAGGGUGGAAAGGCCAGUUUCACAGCAACUGAGAUCUGUUCAGUGCUAAAAGAGGCAAUUCUCAAGGCAUCAAAUGCACAAGAAAAAGAAGUGGAAGAUGCUAUGCGUGAUCACCUUCGUUAUGCUCCAGACAGAGCAGGAGGUGGUGGCAGACAAAAAAACUAAUUCCAGUUAGGAAAAAACUCUUUGUUUUACAUUUUUUUGGUGCUUAUUUACAUCAUUUACUGUUUUAAUUGUUGUAUUGUUUAUAUUAACUAAUUCUGUUUAAAUUUGUUGUAUAAACAGUUGAAUCUCAAAUUCUUAUUAAAAGAACAUUAAUUGUUA